rnacentral:tRNA from 1 species
CGGGUGUAGCUCAGUGGCAGAGCGCCGGCUUCCCAAGCCGGUUAUGUGGGUUCGAUUCCCAUCACCC